GGCACCCUUUGCUUCCUGGAAGUGGGUAAUACGUUAGCAGAGGCCGCGUGAAGAUCAUCCAGUCUUCCCCGGUCCCAGGCAAACAAGGGGGGCAGACGGCACCUGGCGCCUCCCGGACGUGCUGGAGUAUAACCCCCAUCAUGCUCAGCCAGCAGGCCCAGGGCCGGCCGUUAUGGGAGCUGUAGUACUACGCCAAGUUGGAGACGGCUGCACCUUGGAGAGGACUUAAUGUCUCGUCUCUUUAUUGCUGGAUUCGGGUGCAUCGUUACAGCUGCCAACUGGGUUGCUGCGGUUCCGCUCAGCUGCGAAACCAAGCAAGGUUCCAGAGUAAGCCCUCACGCGCUUCCUUUCCAGCAUCUGUGCUUUUAACGACUGGAUGACAGCCAGAAUUUCAAACGUUUUCUGCUAUGAAGAUGCAGGGCUGAGGAACAUAAGGAUCUGCCCCAGAAGGAAUUCAAAAGCAGAAAUUUGGUACAUAAUUGCUGCCUGAACUGCUGAACAACACACUCAAAGUCCCAAACAAUCCCACUUGAACAUCCAUUACCUUGGAAAAAUGACGUCCAUUUUAUGAAUAUGGAAAAGGAUGAGUUCAGUACUCCCUCAGACUAUGGUUCUGGUGCCUACAAACAUAUUUCCGGUGUAAAUCAAAAGGGGAAAAUCGUGUUUUUAAUUCAUAGUUCAUAAAACAAAAUGGUUUUGUGUAAUCUUUGUCAAGGUAUGAUGUUGUAAUAGCUACGAACAACCAAACCACAAGUUUUGUUGAGCCUUGAGAUGGAUGGGUCCUGCUGUGCACAUCAUUGAUGUUAAUCUGCAGAAUGUUUGAAUAGCUGUACUGAACAAUCUGUGAAACAUGUAAGCCAUUAGUAUGCCAAGGGGAGCCUUCCCCCAAACCAGCACUCUGGAUGCAUUGGGCUAAUAAACCAGGGUAGGGAAUUGUACCCAA